UGGGUCGGAGUGCUGGUUUGGGUCGGAGUGCUGGUUUGGGGUGGAGUGCUGGUUCGGGUCGGAGUGCUGGUUCGGGGUGGAGUGCUGGUGUGGUUUGGAGUGCUGGUUCCAGUUGAGUGCUGAUUUGGGUCGGAGUGCUGGUUUGGGUUGAGUGCUGGUUUGGGUCGGAGUGCUGGUUUGGGUCAGAGUGCUGGUUUGGGUCGAGUGCUGGUUUGGGUCGGAGUGCUGGUUCGGGUUGGAGUGCUGGUUCCGGCUGGAGUGCUGGUUUGGGUCGGAGUGCUGGUUUGGGUCGGAGUGCUGGUUUGGGCGAGUGCUGGUUCGGGUUGGAGUGCUCCUUUGGUCACCAUGUGCUGGAUGUAAUAUUUCUGUACUACUGUUACCUCUU
rnacentral:lncRNA from 10 species